rnacentral:lncRNA from 1 species
AUACCUUAGCCACAGAUCCAUUCAGGGGAAGUUCGUUAUUGUUGUCUAUUUUACCAGAAUUAUUGCUCAAAUUAAAAUUACAGUGAUCAAGAUCUGAUAAUAGGUUGCUGUCCAACGGGUCUUCAGAAACAUAAUGACAUGUCUCAUGGUUGUCAAUAGAAAGAUCAUUUUCUGGGUCAACCAUGAAGUGGCUAUCACUUGUAUCUGAGCCCAACAAACUGUGUUCACCCACAUUCUUUCCAAAAGCAUCUCCUGAUAUAAUAAAGUUAGCAAGAGUCUUUUGUGUCAGAUCAAAUAGAUGACCAUCCUUGUCCUCAUUGAAAUGAGACAUGCGCAGGCUUACAAAAGACAGCAGAAUUGGGGUUUCGAAAGGGAGAAAAAAAAAUUCUUUUUUCUAUAAAAAUGGAGUUAAUAUGUUGGAAAUUAACAUAGUUACAAUGCAUCAAGUGGCUAUUAAUUUUAGAAAAGAAUAUGUUUUAGUGAGUUCCUCAAAAUUGGGACAAAUGGUCUAUUGCUAUCUGGCUUUGAUUAUACCUGGAAUAAUGAUGAUGUAUUACAGGACAGGGCCACCCCUGAUGAAUUUGUGACUACAAUAUCAUUUGGUUUAUUAUUUUCUGUUAUCCCUGCACAUGAAGUGUAAAUUUUUCUUUUUAGCCAAUUCCAAUCACAAAUUGGAUGAUGAUAACUGUUGAUGAUGUUUUUUCCUUUUAACUUUUCUUGGAUAAGUAUGUGAAAGA